CCCCUAGUAACUGCGAGUGAAGCGGGAAAAGCUCAAAUUUAAAAUCUGGCGGUUUAUUAGCUGUCCGAGUUGUAGUCUGGAGAAGUGCUUUCCGCGCUGGACCGUGUACAAGUCCCUUGGAACAGGGCGUCAUAGAGGGUGAGAAUCCCGUCUUUGACACGGACUACCAGUGCUUUGUGAUGCGCUCUCAAAGAGUCGAGUUGUUUGGGAAUGCAGCUCAAAAUGGGUGGUAAAUUCCAUCUAAAGCUAAAUACAGGCGAGAGACCGAUAGCGAACAAGUACCGUGAGGGAAAGAUGAAAAGCACUUUGGAAAGAGAGUUAAACAGUACGUGAAAUUGCUGAAAGGGAAACGCUUGAAGUCAGUCGCGUUGUCCGGAAAUCAGCCUUGCUUUUUUUUGCUUGGUGUAUUUUCUGGUUGACGGGCCAGCAUCGAUUUUGACCGUUGGAUAAAGGUGAGGGGAAUGUGGCACCUUCGGGUGUGUUAUAGCCCCUUGUCACAUACAACGGUUGGGAUCGAGGAACUCAGCACGCCUUUUAUGGUCGGGGUUCGCCCACGUUCGUGCUUAGGAUGCUGGCAUAAUGGCUUUAAACGACCCGUCUUGAAACACGGACCAAGGAGUCUAACAUACCUGCGAGUGUUUGGGUGGUAAACCCGAGCGCGUAAUUAAAGUAAAAGUUGAGAUCCCCUUCACAAGGGAGCAUCGACGCCCGGACUUGACCUUCUGUGAUAGCUCUGCGGUAGAGCAUGUAUGUUGGGACCCGAAAGAUGGUGAACUAUGCCUGAAUAGGGUGAAGCCAGAGGAAACUCUGGUGGAGGCUCGUAGCGAUUCUGACGUGCAAAUCGAUCGUCAAAUUUGGGUAUAGGGGCGAAAGACUAAUCGAACCAUCUAGUAGCU
rnacentral:rRNA from 1 species